rnacentral:rRNA from 1 species
UACGUAGGGUGCAAGCGUCAAUCGGAAUUACUGGGCGUAAAGCGUGCGCAGGCGGUUUUGUAAGUCUGUCGUGAAAUCCCCGGGCUCAACCUGGGAAUGGCGAUGGAGACUGCAAGACUAGAGUUUGGCAGAGGGGGGUAGAAUUCCACGUGUAGCAGUGAAAUGCGUAGAGAUGUGGAGGAACACCGAUGGCGAAGGCAGCCCCCUGGGUCAAAACUGACGCUCAUGCACGAAAGCGUGGGGAGCAAACAGG